GCGCCUGUAGCUCAGGGGAUAGAGCAUUGGUUUCCUAAACCAUGUGUCGGAGGUUCGAAUCCUUCCAGGCGCA
rnacentral:tRNA from 3 species